CCACCGAGCUCUGUGUGCACAUGCGUGUCUGCGGCCCCGGAACUUGCGCGACCCAUAUAAGGGCUCGCGGCGGCGCCACUUUUUCUUUUCCGUCUGCAGGUAGGUUUGUUAGCGUGGUUCCGCUGGCUUCCUGCUGUUCGCGAAGGUGUUGGGGCGGGCGGUUUGGGAGAUCGGCGUUGGUUGAAAAUCACCUUCGGCUUUGACCACGGCCGCAGGACAGCUGGAUGCUCAGAACCUGAGGCCAACGCCGCCAAGACCGUCGGGGGGCGGGUAGGGGGGCUUUCCUUUCAUCUUUCAAUAAAGCUGUUGAUUUAAUUCA